AGUCCGCUGACCGAACGACCCGCCUGUGCCUUGCACCGGAAGUGCUUGGCUCUGUGGCCGGCUGUUUCCCGGACGUGGUUUCCCGUCUUCUCUGCCCCGAGGCGGGGCCGGCUGUCCGUGUUAGGGCGGGCUCUAGGGGCCACCUUGCUGCGGGCCGUCCCUCGGUUUUUGCAAGCCAGCCUGUGAUUUGUUGUCCAUCAGCAUUAUUGGAGAGGCCGAACUACGGCUUUGGGCAGCGUUCGGUUCUUCAGGCCGCCUUAGGCUGUGUGGACGCGGGUUGUGUUAACCUUUCUGAGCUUCCCAGGUGACUUCUCUGCAAAACGGGGUGGCAGAAUGCGAGCUGGCGCUAGCUCGUGGAAGUUGGUGCUGCAGAGCCGGCCUGCAGCUGACCAGCCUCUUGUUUUCGUCAGCAGGCACCACUGGCCCUCGAUAGAUCUAAGCGUGGCGGCCCGCACUCGGCUGGCAUUUCCACCCAGUCAAAGGACCGGCGGCUCCUUCUGUCCCUGAACAAUGUCGUCCCUGUCUAAUCCUAACAGUCAAGCCUGGAGGAAUUGGUGGGCUUUGUGGUGGAAAGUGGCCCAGAUCCCCUUGUUGGAGGACAGUUUUAAUUCCCACCGAAGCUACAGAAGAGAAUCUGAAAAAUGCCAAGAGUGUCUCUAAGCGGGAGAGGGAGUGGGCGGGAGCUCACUUUGUUUCUGCCCCAUUUGAGAUUCCAGGGCCCUGGACUCUGCCCCAGGACACUUUCUGUAGGCAAGAGCGCGGGAUGUGAUGAGUAAGGAGGCGAUUUUGUUUUUCGUUCUUUUGAACAGCAGAUCAUGAAGACACCCUAACAACCUAUGGGUAGCACACCUGCCUUAUGCUGAAUUCUUGACUCCAUUAGGAUUUAGUGAAUGGAAGGGGGAGUGGGUAUAUCAGGAAAUGUAGAAGGACCACUGUUCAGUCUUUCAUCCUUCCACUGCCUUCUAACUCUCUGGUAGGGUGUGGUCUUUCCAAGAGAGCAUCCUCCAGGGAACUGGAAAGGAGGAAACCCAGGCCUCACAUCUCCUGAAGCAGAGUCUGCGUUUCAGCAGAAUCCCCAGAAUUUGCGCUGCAUGGUAAAGUUGGCAAAGGCCUGGCCUAACGCCUGGGGUGGUCUGGCUUAAAGUGAUGUGCUGGCAUCACAAAUGUAAGAAGAAAUAGGUCCGCAGAGCCAAAGUCUGUGGUGCCACAAAGGCAAAAUUUGGUGGUCAUGGUGGCCAACUAACUGUUUCGUGCAUUUGGGUCCUGCCAGCAGGUUGAGAAGAGGGCGACAGACGCCGAGAUGGUUGGAUGGCAUCAUCGAAGCACUGGACAUGAGUUUGAGCAAGCUCCAGGAGAUAGGGAAGGACAGGGAAGCCUGGCAUACUGCAGUCCGUGGCGUCACAGAGUCGGACACGGCUGAGCCACAACAACAACAACAAGCAAGUUGAUUCAGAAGACAGAUGAGAAAUGUGUCCCUGGGGCAGCAAGGCUGAACACCACGACUCGGAGAUCCUUUGUUAAAAGGGAAAAUGAGAUCAGCGGUUACCACACCUGCUGGCACUCUUCAGAGAGGAGAGACUCCCUUGGACAAGAGAGGCAGGCUGCCAAAGCCCACUGAACGUGCUUCUGAUACUCAGGAAAAGUUUGCUGACCUCCUGAAAGACCCUUAUGCUACUCAGGGUCUCCGUUUGACUGUCUCACCUGUGAAUUUCUCCGUGAUGGAUUCUAGUCCACCAUCUGUUUCCCAAAAUACCUUUUACCAGCUGCGUGUGGAAAGGAGAGUAUUUGAGCUGUGCCUGCCAUGACUCAAGAAGUGAGCUUUAAGUUUUAUUGAAUUGAGAGGGAAACCCAGCCCCAGCGACCUGCAGAAGGGAGUGGCUUUGACUUCCGUCCUGUUGAGUGGCGCGGGUCCAUCGGAAGCUGCAAGGACACCCCUAAGGUCCUCUGGCUCCGACAGGGUCUUCCUCCCCUCAACUCUCCGGACAAUUUCAUAUUCUGGGCACCUCCUCUUUGGACAAGGGCGUCUUGUGUCUUCCAGUCCAGCUGGAGAGCCUGGCAGGCAAACAGCACAGACCGUUCAGUCCCAGAGCGGCUUUACGUACGCACGGCCGAAGCCAAGGCCGAAGCGUGUUCGUCGUCCCGGACGUGCUGGUCCACAGGCAGCCUGGCGAGUUCAGACGCGACGACUAGGUACACGAAAGGAGGCAAGAGCUGUGCCAGACACAGGGCUGUCUUCUGGGCCUCGAUGCUCAGAUAAGAGGAGCCCUGGAGGUCUGCUUUUUUUAAAAAAAAUUUUUUUGGCUGCACCAUGUACCAUAUGGGAUCUCAAUUCCUUGACCACGGCUCGAACUCGCGUCCCCUGCAUUGGAAGCAGUCUCAACCACUGGACGGCCAGGUAAUGCCCCCAGAAACCCCCAGGGCUGCUUUUACAAAAACUGAGCACUCAUCCAGCCUCCGUUGCCCAAAGUAGAGAAAACAAAAGUCUCAUCUAAAGCCUGACCCACACUCAGUAGC